rnacentral:rRNA from 1 species
UUGGGCACUCUAGUGAGACUGCCGGUGACAACCGGAGGAAGGUGGGGAUGACGUCAAGUCCUCAUCGGCCCUUAGUGGUAGGGCUUCACACGUCAUACAAUGGUCGGUACAGAGGGUUGCCAAGCCGCGAGGUGGAGCCAAUCCCUUAAAGCCGAUCGUAGUCCGGAUCGUAGUCUGCAACUCGACUACGUGAAGUCGGAAUCGCUAGUAAUCGCAGAUCAGCAUGCUGCGGUGAAUACGUUCCCGGGUCUU